UUCGUAGGAGAACUGUCAAAAGCCCCCAAAAUCAGCUGAUUUUAAACGUCUUCUGAUUUUAGGCCUAUGGGCCUUUUCAUUUGACGCAAGCCUUUGUUCGACGGUUGUUAACUGUGGCAUACACGGACCUGUCAACUGAAAAAGCCUAUUUCCGAACGAAAGUGCUUAAAUGUCACUGCGAUGUUGCAAAUGUAAAACAAUCUAUUGGAAUGUAUCAAAUCCGAAAAUCAAAACAAAACCAAAACUGGAGCUGCCAAAUUUUAAUGAACAGGGCGAUGUAGGAUGACCAGUUUGUCGAAUUAAAUGUUUCCCCCAGUAAUCGUUGCCAAAUUAGUAAGGUAAUACGGUACCUUGGAUCGACUUCUUUUCCUGAUCUUGUUGAAAAGAUCUCAGCGAUAACUGCCGAAAUCACAUUUUGGAAUUUAAAUUAGCGUACAUAUUUUUUCAAUCUUUGGAAUCGAAAUAAUAAAAAAAUGAUGACAGCUGGGAGUGUAUUUUUCAAACAAAGGUGCAAUCUUUCACAAAUAAUACUAAAUCAAUUGAUCAAACAUAGUUUAGGUGUGGAUCUAUCAACCCGGAUCAAACCCAGAUAGCGGAUACCCGAACGGAACCGGUAUUUGAAGUGGUCUGAUGGUUUGGCAAACAAAUCAGGGUUGCUGUGAAAGCGUCACAGGAAUCCACUCAAAGUAGGCUGCGUAGGCUGUGUACAUCAAAUGCAAUUUUGUCAUCAAAGCAAGCCAUAGCGCGUGUUGAUUUGUGAUUGGCAUAUGCAACUGAUAACUAUUAAUGUCCAAAGAAAACUUAUUCCAGUCAUUAUUAUUAUUUACCCGGAUAGGGAGGGCUUCUGUUCCGGUUCUUGAAGUGCUUUGUUGUUUUGCUAACCCUUGCUGUGAAAACGUCAUAGAUAAAUAGAGGAUGGCACACGAAGUAGGCUGCGCCGGCUUGUUUACGAUGAAUGCACAAUUUACCCGACCAAAGCAAGCACGUCAGACAGUGCACGUGUUGACCGGUGGUAAUGCACACCUCCAUCAGCCGUUCCAUAACAAAAACAACUGACUGACGAAUCGUUAUCUGAGCAUUCCAAUAUUUGUGAUAUCCAGCGUUUGCAAAGAUAAACCUGAUGUACGAUUGCCCGCGGCGCUGCUAUCAAUAUAUUGCCCAUAUCGGUUGGUAACACUGCCAAAAAUUUAGGGUUCAAUGUUACGGCGAGUGCACGAUAUGGAAGUUCAAUACACUGACUGACUGGCGUCGUGCCGAAGAAUGUGUCACCCUCUACAUAUAUGAAACGGGCGAUAAGAUAGCACGGUCCCAAUUUCGAUAGGUUGCGCAGGAAAUGACCAACAUCUCUUAUAGGAGUUUGUAUGUACCCUUUCUCUCUCUGCUCAAUAUGCCCAUAUAUGUCACACCGGAGCUAAUCUCCGCCGCUGAGUACAUUACCUUCUACGGCGCAAACUUAUCAACGCCUACUUGAUGAGUAACCAACAGCGUACUGACACUUGAGAUAGCGUACAGCGAAACAAAAAGUGCUGAUCAUCGCUCGGGAGAAGCUUCAUAAUGAUGAUGAGAAUAUUGUUGGAAUGGCGACAUCGCACAACAACAGCAAAACAAACAUUAACUGGAAUUCGGAACAGGCGAAUGAUUUGCCAGAUGUGAUUUCCUUAUCCCCUUUUUCUCGCUUUGAUUCUGGUUUUGUGUCAUGGGGUGAUGAUACUGAUAGAUCCCAACGACAUCAACAACGCGCAACGGUGAUUGCACGUCAGUCACUAACUAACCAAGGUAUUUAUCUGUGACCUCUAGACUAAUGUGGUUGAAACUGGUUGACAGUGUUGCGUGAAAUAGAAUUAGGUAUCGACUUGUUUGCUGUUGGUUGAGUGUAGGGCGGCUUAUCAGUUUGAUUCAGAUUGUCCAGUUACAAGCUAAUCCAUAUAGGCGCAACAAGUAGCAUUUGGAACUUAUCAUCCUGAAUUUGUCAGUCUGGCAACACUGAUGUCUGAUUACUUUCGAGCUCUUUCGAGAUAUGGUUGAUGAAAGGUUGGGGUGAGACAAAACUCCACAACUGUAACAGUUCAAGCACAAUUUGGUACUUCAAGUACUUGGUUCAUAAGUAAAGCUGACAGAGUGAACUAGAUUGUUGAUAUGAAUAAAAAAAAAUGUUUGCGAAUAUGCAGUGUUUACUUCUUUCGAACAUGACAUUUAACUAGUCGCAUGUACUGCACUGUCAAAACAAGCCUUUCGUGUAAUGCUGAAGAAUCUAAAGAGACCCGCACAGCGUAUUCGUUGACAGUACCGUCUACUCCCGUUGGUUUGACCUCAUCUAAUCUGAACACUUUUUAAUUUGACCCCCUCUAAUAUGCACAUCGUUCAAACUAAAAAUAGUUCAAACGUCAUUCUGCUCAUCGAACGGAGUAAAACGGAACGCAGAAUCAAAACAGCAAAAAAGGUUACCAUCAGUGUGCUUCAGGGUUACUAGAAGUUCAAAUUAAAAAAUGAACCCCGUUGGUUUGCAUGAGAUCUCGUUCAAACCAACGAGGGUAGACGGUAGUUUAACAGAGAACACAUGGAAAAUCUGCCAAAUUAAAGUUAACGCAGUAGCAACUAUAGAUAGUAGAGUAAACAUAGAUCCGCGGACACCACUGACUAAAAUGUUUCAAGCGUGUAAGUAGUAAUUUUCAAAAGUGCGACGAUUGUAUAUGACGUCAUGCGUUCCAUUGAUGUUGUCCAAAUCGUGACGUCAUGCUCGUUUGGAUACAGAUUUUGACAGUUCGUUUGGAUACAACGGAUUCAUCUUAGCGGAUCUAUGUUUACUCUACUAUCUAUAGUAGCAACGUACGCUACGUGAUCCAAGCUUAACUGGCAGUUUGUGGUUCCGAGAAGAAGUUGAAGAUUCCUCCGGGUUCGGAAGUAACUUCAAGUAGAUUCCAGAAGAAAUCUGGGUAACCGUGCUAGAGGCAGUGCUGAAAAAUUCAUUUCGUCAUAUCUGAAUUCAAUCACCUACAGCUCAUUUUAGAAGCUGAACCUGAGAAUAUGGUAUAUGAAAAACUUCCCGCAUAGAAAAAAACAACUUGACAUAUUGUUCCUACCAUAUACUUGUUUUUUGCCAUGUUGUUAACAUAUGUGUAAAAAGUGUCCUAUUAUCGAACAUUAAUAAUGACCGUUAUCAAAAAUAUAUAGAACUCCUUUACAACCAUUUCUCAAAUUGUUGAUGCAUAUCACAUAGUUCAUUUACAGUUGUUUGUGCUUCAUAAGCAAGGUAGUUUUCAACUGUAAACACCAAGGAAUAGUUACUCAACAAUAUCACAUGGAUUAACAUUAUGACAUAAAGCUCAAUUAUAACUGAUUAUUGUUCGUAUCGAAAGCGAAGCAAACAUGAUGUCACGCACACAUUCUAGAAAAUUAUUGUUCAAUGUUAACUGAAUGAUUUGUCAUAAUGUUGCACAAGCUUUGUGUGAGUAUCGGCUUGAAUAUCGAUAAGCUCGGGUGAGAACUUGAGUGGAAUUGAAAAGAAAAAAACAAAACAGUUGAGUCGGGAGGAGAUUUCGGCAAAUAAUUAUUAUUUGAACUAGACCGAUAACCAAUGUUCACGGAUGUUUUCAUGGUGUCGACGAUUGCCAAUCGGAACAAUUGGAAACAUCAUUCCAACGGCCGCCAGCAGGAUCGGUUUAGUCAAGUCAUCCGUGGAGGAUAAAUCCGGCAAAUGCUAUUGCCGUUGAUCGCACAGCUUAUCAACGGUCAAAUUAACAACCUUCCCUCAGCUCCUCCCGGAGAAAAGUUCUCCACGAGUACCGAUCACGCUAGGAGCUCUCGCAACAGCACGGGGCGCUGACCGGAGAUACUAGUAAGAAAAUGCUGAAACACCACCUGGAUUUCACCGACGGGUACAAACCGAUGGAUAACCAACUCAAUAAUGCAUAUGUCGCCACAGGAUAUGUGGUUUAUGACUGCCGGAGGUUCCCUCGGAAACUUGAUAGAGAUGCAACGCCAUCAAUGUAAGUUUUGGUCAAAACUAUUAUAAAAAAAUAGAUUUUUCCAAUAGGGUAGGAAUCAAUAAAACUGGGUGUACUACUGCAA